ensembl:lncRNA
CACAAAAUUGCAUAUAAUUAAGAUACUAUCAUCUGAUGUGAUUGAAAGAAUAAAUAGAAGACUAUUCUGAGUUAACUAUGUAUUUAUGAGAAAGAACACUGCUCUGACAUUUAAAUCAGUCUGAGACCCAGCUGUGAGCAGAAUUCGAGCAGAGUAUGAAAUGUGACCUAGGAAGUGACAUUUAUUUGCAGAAUAUGAGAUGGAGCAAGAAGAAAUUUAGGCCUGAAAAGAAUGACCAACUGUGGACUGAACAAUUGCUGAGAGUCAAGUGGCUUGGGAAGCGGACUCUGCAAUGGAGAUUUGCCUGCACCAUAGUGGAAAGAGGAUUGGCAGAGGGAUAGGAAGCUGCAACACAGUCACAAGAAAGGCCUCAGCCAUUCCACAGGGGUGCUGGAGCUGGAUGCUUGCCCAUUUAGGGUGUCCCAAUUGGGGUGAGGGGCCUAGGCCUUUAUCCCCUCCCCCCCCCACUGCCCUGUCACUGGAAGCAGACUGCCUCCGGGAAAGUGGUGUGACCCUGGCUAUGGCAACUUUUUUCACAGAAGAUUAACAACCUGGAGGGGAAACACAGAACUAAGUUCCUAGCUGUCAACACUCCAGAUUGCUGGAGCCAUGGAUCUCAGUCCUGGAGAGGAGUGGGAAGGAUCUGAGGGGCAUGGCCCAGGAUCAUUGCACAAGGACACAAACACUCUUUAAAUCCAGAUGGAUGUGUAGAUACAAGGGCAGAACCUGCAGCAAGAGUUCGGUGUACACAGAUCUACCAGAAACAGGUCCUGUCUAUCACAUAUUUGUCAGCUUCAGCGAAUUUGAGAUCUAGACUUCUGUUAAUGGUAAUCAAUGAUACAAGCAGAAUAUUGCUUUAAACGCUUGUUUACAAAGUGCUGGAACCUGAAUUUGCUAUGUUUCUUAUAAAUUAAUUUAUUUAUGGCAAGGGGGGAAAGAUGUGAAUAGAAAAAUCACAGAUGAGAACAUUUUUUUAAUACUCAGAGGAAUGUGCAGGUAGGAAACUGGUGCCGGGAGAGUAGAAUAAUUACAAUCUUCCUGUCAAUUGGCUUAAGGGGUAAAACAUCAUCUUCCUGCUUUAUGAGUAAACAAAAUUUGAACAUUUAAGGCCUCAUCAGAGAGAUCUGUCACUGAGAAACAUUCAUUUCUUUGCUGCCUACAGGGCAAUCUGUCGCCAUUGAGGGCCAUUGACUAUUAAAUGCUUAGAUGAAUAAGUGCUUAUGACGUCUGCAAUUUCUAGUUAGAAAAUGAGACAAAGAUUAAAACAACAUUUUGAGACAAGGCUUUUUAUGGUUUCUGUUUAUAAAUCUUUAGGUAGCUCUGUUGAAAUUAAAUACUGCAUCAAUGCUUAAACUUCUGACCAUUCUUUCUCAUUUUGUUACAUUUUGAAGAGGAGAAUACAUUUUAAUAUGUUGUAAUGUGUCUACACAGACAAAAUAAACUACAGGUUGAGUAUUUAGUGAACACUGACCAAUGUGUAACUCAGAAAUUCACCAAGUUUAUCGUCUUCUGACCUCUUCUGACUGUUAAAAAUCAUUUAAGACACCAAAUAGCUUUUGUUGAUGUGGGUUUUAUCUAUCAUUACUUACUGUUUUAGAAAAGGAAAUAGAUAUUUUCAAAAUAUUUAUAACUUAUUGAAAAAUAAUUAUAAAAGUAUUAUUGUUUACCAUUGAAAGCAUAUUUUUAAAGAAAAAUAAGCACAUUUUCAAAAACAAAAGUAUGUAUAAUGAGUACAGUGGCAUUGAUUCACAUUUUGCAAAAUUUUUUAAUGUGUGGCGUAGAAGUCAGCUGGAUUCUCACAUGAGCCUCACAUUCCAUCAUUUGCCAUAUGGUGCUUUGGUUGAAACAUAUGAGGAAAACUUAGCCCCAUACAGAUAUAUAUUGGAAAAGGAACAUUUUGUAAUUAAAUUUUUUAUUUUGAAGUCAUUGUAGAUGCACAUGCAGAUGUUAGAAAUAGUAGGGGAGAUCUUGUGUACCCUUUACCCAGUUUUCCCCAACAGUAACAUUUUUCAAAGCUGUAGGACACUUUCACAGGCAACAUAUUGACUCUAAUGCAGUCAAGAUCCAGACAUUGCCAUCACCCCAAACAUCCCCCCGUUGCCCUUUUACAGUCGCAUCCACUUUCCUCAUUAACUGCUAGGACAAUUAAUUCUCUUCUCCCUUUUUACAAUUGUCAUUUUAAGAAUAAGAUAUAAAUGGAAUGUGAGAUUGGCUAUUUUCACUCAGCAUAAUCCUCUGGAGAUUCAUCCAGACUGUUGUGAGUAUCAAUAAGUUUUUUCCUUUUAUUUGUGACUAUUACAUAUGGUAAAGAUUACCAUAAUUUGCUUUGAAGGACAUUUGGAUUGUUUCCAGUUUUUGGCUAUUAUGAACAAAACUGCUAGAAAUGGUAGAGUACAGGUAUUAGUGUCAACAAAACUUUUCCUUUCUCUCAGAUUAAGUCAUAUGGUAGAUAUACGUUUGGUUUUUUAGAAACUGCCAAACUAUUUUCUAGAGUGCCAUUUUACAUUCUCAGUGGUCAUAUGUGAGUAACCCACUUUUUGUUAAUCCUCAUUGGCAUUUCUUAUUGCCACUAUUUUUUUAUUUUAGCCAUGCUGGAGGGUUGUAGGAAUAUCUCAAUGUGGUUUUAAUUUGUAUUUCCCUAAUCGCUAAUGAUGUUGACAUCAUUUCUCAUGCUUAUACGCAAUUUCUAUAUCCUUUCAUUGAAAUGUCUCUUCAUGUAUUUUGCCUAUUUUCCAAUCAAAUUGUUUUAUCUUUUACUGUUGAGUUUAGGGAGUUCUUUAUAUAUUCUAGAUACCAGUCCUCUGUUGGAUAUGUGAUAUGCAAAUAUUUUGUUUCAUUCUGUAAUUGUCUUUUAUACUCUAAACAUGGUUUUUGACAGAGCAAAAAGUUUUCAUUUUGAUGAAAUCUAACUUCUCAAUUUUCUUUUUAUGGAUCACACUUUGGUGUUAAGUCUAAGAACUGUUAUUUAGAACAAGACUUUCUUAUCUUGAAGACUUUCUUCAAAAUUUUUGGCUAAUAGUGUUAUAGUUUUAUAUCUUAUGUUUAAGCCUGUGAUCCAUUGUGAGUUAAUUAUUUAUAAUAAUCUUGUAUAUUAAUUUUUGUAUAAUUUCAUAUGUGAUUUAGAUCGAGGUUCUUUUUUUUUGUCUGUGGAUGUCCAAAGACUCCAGCACCAUUUGUUGAAAAAGUUAACUUGUCCCCAUUGAAUUGCUGUUGCAUCUUUAUCAGACUUGGUUCUGUAUAUUUCUUGGGUCUAUUCCUGUGUACUCACUUCUGUUUCAUUGAUCUGUAUAUCUUUCCGUCAACCAAUAGCACAUUGUCUUGAUUACUAUAGCUAGAUAAUAUAUCUUCAACUUGGGUAGACUGACUCUUCCCAUUUUAUUCUACUUUUUUCAAAAUUGUUUUAGCUAUUCUAGUUCCUUCUUCUUUCAAUAUAAAUUUCAUAAUAAACUUGUCUCCACUUACCAAAAUUAUUGCUGAUAUUUGGAUAGGAAUUGCGUUAAACUUGUGUAUCAAUUAUUGGUGAAUUAACAACUUUGCUACAUAAAUCUUCCAAUACAUGAUCGUAGGAUGUUUAUCCAUUUAUUUAGCUAUUUUGUUAUUUAUUUCAUCAAUGUUUUGUAGUUUCCAGCAUAUAACUCAAGUACAAGUUUUGUUAGAUUUACACAAAUUACAUUUUACCCCAUUGUAAAUUAUAUUAAAUUUUUAAUCUCAAGAAUCUAUUCACUGCUACUCUCUAGAAAUGUUGUUGAUCUUGUAUCCUGUGAUCUUGCUGAACUCAAUUAUUAGUUUUGGGAGUUAUUUUGUAGAUUCCUUAGUAUUUCCUAUGUAUACAAUAAUGUCACUGGCACAGAGGGGCGAUUUUAUUUCUUCCUUUCCAAACUGUAUGACUGUUUUUCUUGUCUUAUUGCUCUAGCUAACCUCUGCUCUUGACUUCACUAGGCCCUCUCUGGCACCAGUUCAGUGGGGAGAUUGAGAGGCAUCUCAUCACCACCUGGCAAGGGUGAAAGUCUGUUCUUCCGCCGAGCCUCUGUUAUCUGGGUGAGGGUGGGGCCACAGUUUUGUCUGAGUGUUUGUCUAGAGUAGAGCUAUUUUUAUUUAAAAGUUUUAUCUUGCUAGGCUGCCCUUUUCCCUGACCGUUGGCUAGAAAGAGCAGGCUUUCAGGGGCUUUUGAGUCUCUGCUAGUUGCCAGCACCCAGAGGGAGAAAGAACAUCCAGGGACUACCCUUGUGCCAUUCCUUGGGUUCCAAGGUCUCUGAUCAGUCUCAAACUUUCAGAAUAUUCUUAGGCUUGUUUUAGAUAGACUCCAGGGUUUUUAUGAGUACUUAGCAAGAAAGAGUAGGGAAAAGUAUGUCUAUCUCAUCUUCCCAGAAAUGGAAGUCUCAAAGUCAAGGGUAUUUUGAAGAUAUUGUCCUAAAAAUAUAUAUAUUUUAAAUUUUCUUAUUAUUUUUUAUCAAAGAUGAGACCAAAUUAAAAUAAAUAAUCUAUUUGGCAAAUACCUUGAUGAUAUUAUCUUGCGUGAGUUAAUGACAAUGAUGAACGUUCUUUAUCAUCAAUACUAUUAUAAUAUAUUUUAAGACCAAAACAUGUAAGUAAGUGCUUACCUAAAGACUAAAAAUCGACAAAAUGUAUUUUUUCCUAAAUAUUGUUUUUUGCACCAUUAGAUAUGAAAAUGUUUGAUAAUUCAAAUUUAUCCAACAGAUUCACAUAUGAUUUUUAUAGAUAAAGCCAGUCAGACAUAAAAACAUAUAAUAAUCAAAAUAGGACUUGGUUAUUUGAGAGUUUGUGUAAAUCAAUAAUAGACUUCUAGGUCAGUCUUUUAGGUAUAUCUUAAUUCUUACUCAGCAAUGCCAUUGAAUGCCUUAUAAUAUAAACCUGAUGUUAUCAUGAAGCUACAUCACUUUAAAAAAAUUGCAAUAUUUGCAAAUGUUAUAACUUAUUCAACACAUAUCUUUUAAUAAAAUUAUGAUUUGAAUGUGUGUGAAAAGAUAAGAAAAUGCUUCUGGAUGAAAAACGGCAAAUUCAUGUCAGGGAAGAGAUCAAUCUUGAACCAAAUUCUCUGAAGAAUUAACAUAAGCAGAGAUGCAGUAGGUUAUAUUAAUAUGACUGGAAUUUGAAUUUUGAAUUCUGACUCAUAUCCUUCUGAUAGGACCUUUAGUUUUAUUCUGAAGUAACCUACUAGUAUGUAUUUUAUUAUCCCAAAUCUUUGAGUUCUGAGUCCUACGUUUUACUUCUUAUCCACAUUACAAAUGACAAAACAAAUUUCUUCCUGGAAUUUUCUUCUUGGCCAGGUUUACCGAAGAAAGAAGAGGAAUGAUAUAAUAAUCAACAGAAGUUACUGUUCCUACAAUGUAAUUAUAAAAGUCUCUGUAUUUAUGUCCACAUAAAGAAGGAAAUCUUAUAAAUGUGCCCUAAGGUAGCUUUAAAAUAAGGAAUAUUUUAUAGUUUUCAGUGUGUAAGUUUUUCAAUUCUUUUGUUAAGUUUACUCCUACAUAUUUUAUUCUUUUUGUUGAAAUU